GGGGGAUAGCUCGGGGAAACUCGAAUUAAUACCGCAUACGACCUACGGGUGAAAGGGGGCGCAAGCUCUUGCUAUUAGAUGAGCCUAAAUCAGAUUAGCUAGUUGGUGGGGUAAAGGCCCACCAAGGCGACGAUCUGUAACUGGUCUGAGAGGAUGAUCAGUCACACCGGAACUGAGACACGGUCCGGACUCCUACGGGAGGCAGCAGUGGGGAAUAUUGGACAAUGGGGGCAACCCUGAUCCAGCCAUGCCGCGUGUGUGAAGAAGGCCUUUUGGUUGUAAAGCACUUUAAGCAGGGAGGAGAGGCUAAUGGUUAAUACCCAUUAGAUUAGACGUUACCUGCAGAAUAAGCACCGGCUAACUCUGUGCCAGCAGCCGCGGUAAUACAGAGGGUGCGAGCGUUAAUCGGAAUUACUGGGCGUAAAGCGAGUGUAGGUGGCUCAUUAAGUCACAUGUGAAAUCCCCGGGCUUAACCUGGGAACUGCAUGUGAUACUGGUGGUGCUAGAAUAUGUGAGAGGGAAGUAGAAUUCCAGGUGUAGCGGUGAAAUGCGUAGAGAUCUGGAGGAAUACCGAUGGCGUAGGCAGCUUCCUGGCAUAAUAUUGACACUGAGAUUCGAAAGCGUGGGUAGCAAACAGGAUUAGAUACCCUGGUAGUCCACGCCGUAAACGAUGUCUACUAGCCGUUGGGGUCCUUGAGACUUUAGUGGCGCAGUUAACGCGAUAAGUAGACCGCC
rnacentral:rRNA from 1 species